rnacentral:rRNA from 1 species
AUGGCUGUCGUCAGCUCGUGUCGUGAGAUGUUGGGUUAAGUCCCGCAACGAGCGCAACCCUUGUCAUUAGUUGCUGCGAAAGGGCACUCUAAUGAGACUGCCGGUGACAAACCGGAGGAAGGUGGGGAUGACGUCAAGUCCUCAUGGCCCUUAUAGGUGGGGCUACACACGUCAUACAAUGGCUGGUACAAAGGGUUGCCAACCCGCGAGGGGGAGCCAAUCCCAUAAAGCCAGUCGUAGUCCGGAUCGCAGUCUGCAACUCGACUGCGUGAAGUCGGAAUCGCUAGUAAUCGUGGAUCAGCAUGUCACGGUGAAUACGUUCCCGGGUCUUGUACACACCGCCCGUCACACCAUGGGAGCGGGUCUCGCUAGAAGUAGUUAGCCUAACCGCAAGGAGGGCGAUUACCACGGCGGGGUUCGUGACUGGGGUGAAGUCGUAACAAGGUAGCCGUAUCGGAAGGUGCGGCUGGAUCACCUCCUUUCUGGAAAACGCAAUCAAGCUCAAACG